rnacentral:rRNA from 1 species
UACGGAGGUUGCAAGCGUUAUUCGGAAUUACUGGGCGUAAAGCGCACGUAGGCGGCCUUGUAAGAUGGGGGUGAAAUCCCCGGGCUCAACCCGGGAACUGCCUUCAUGACUGCAAAGCUAGAGGAUGCGAGAGGUUAGCGGAAUUCCGAGUGUAGAGGUGAAAUUCGUAGAUAUUCGGAAGAACACCAGUGGCGAAGGCGGCUAACUGGCGCAUUUCUGACGCUGAGGUGCGAAAGCGUGGGGAGCAAACAGG